GGGCCCGUAGCUUAGCUAGGUAGAGCGCCCUGGGACGUUGUCCCGACCCGGCCGUCCCGCGUAGGGCUCAUAACCGGGAGGCCCCGGGUUCAAAUCCCGGCGGGCCCA
rnacentral:tRNA from 1 species